UACGGAGGAGGCAAGCGUUGUCCGGAAUCAUUGGGCGUAAAGAGCGUGUAGGCGGCCCGGUAAGUCCGCUGUAAAAGUCAAAGGCUCAACCUUUGAAUGUCAGUGGAUACUGCCGGGCUAGAGUCCGGAAGAGGCGAGUGGAACUCCUGGUGUAGCGGUGGAAUGCGCAGAUAUCAGGAAGAACACCAACGGCGAAGGCAGCUCGCUGGGACGGUACUGACGCUGAGACGCGAAAGCGUGGGGAGCGAACAGG
rnacentral:rRNA from 1 species